GACGAACGCUGGCGGCGUGCUUAACACAUGCAAGUCGAACGGAAAGGCCCUGCUUUUGUGGGGUGCUCGAGUGGCGAACGGGUGAGUAACACGUGAGUAGCCUGCCCUUGACUUUGGGAUAACUUCAGGAAACUGGGGCUAAUACUGGAUAGGAGCUCCUGCUGCAUGGUGGGGGUUGGAAAGUUUCGGCGGUUGGGGAUGGACUCGCGGCUUAUCAGCUUGUUGGUGGGGUAGUGGCUUACCAAGGCUUUGACGGGUAGCCGGCCUGAGAGGGUGACCGGCCACAUUGGGACUGAGAUACGGCCCAGACUCCUACGGGAGGCAGCAGUGGGGAAUAUUGCACAAUGGGCGGAAGCCUGAUGCAGCAACGCCGCGUGCGGGAUGACGGCCUUCGGGUUGUAAACCGCUUUCGCCUGUGACGAAGCGUGAGUGACGGUAAUGGGUAAAGAAGCACCGGCUAACUACGUG
rnacentral:rRNA from 1 species